GAUUUCUGGCUUGAAACAUUUGGCCGGCCACGGUUUCGUGUGUUAGUGCUUUGUGUUCUGGCCAUCCUUCCAAUGGCUGCUCAUUUAUCUUCAUUGAUGGGUGAGUGGUAUUGGAUCUUUUACUUUGAAAAAAUUAGAGUGUUUCAAGCAGGCUUUAUGCUAUGAAUACAUUAGCAUGGAAUAAUAAUUUAGGACUUCGGUUCUAUUUUGUUGGUUUCUAGGACUGAAGUAAUGAUUGAUAGGGAUAGUUGGGGGUGCUAGUAUUCAGCGGCCAGAGGUGAAAUUCUCGGAUUCGCUGAAGACUAACUUAUGCGAAAGCAUU
rnacentral:rRNA from 1 species